CACCCUGUAUAUAAGCGUGUCAUCUGCAAACAUUUUUAUAUUGCACCCUUCUGACAGACUUCAAUUAUAUCAUUUAUAUAUAAUAUAAAUAGCAAAGGUCCUAGUACUGAACCUUGUGGCACUCCAUAUUCUGUAGGCAAUAAUUUAGACCAUAUCUGAUUAAAUCGUACCUGUUGUUUCCUAUUAUUUAAGUAUGAUUUGAACCACUUUAAGAUCAUUCCUCUAAUUUCGUAUUGAUACAUUUUUUCUAACAAUCUUUAUCUAUUGUUUUAAACGCUCUCUUAAGAUCCAUGAAGAUAACUCCUACCAUUUUUCCCUCGCUCACUAUUAAUUUCCAUUCGUCUAUGACGGAUUGAAUCGCUGUUUCACACAAAUAAUAUUUUCUAAAUCCCGCCUAAUGUUCUGUUAUAAUACCGUUUGUUUCCAAAUAUGUUUCAAAUUGUUCUUUUACUACUAAUUCUAACACUUUUUCAUACAUUGGUAACAUAUUAAUAGGCCUAUAUUCAGUCGCUUUUUUGGCUUUAUCUAUCUUUGGGAUCGGUAUUAUAGUAGGUUUUCCAACCUUCCGGACAAUGACCUUCUCUUAAAGAAUUAUUUAUUAAAAUCGCAAAUUCUUGUUUUAUUACGAGAAAAGCUACCUUCAAUAUAUCACUAGUUAUUCCCUCUUCCGUACCUUUCUUUUUUGGUAAUCCCAUAACUAUUUCUUCUAGCUGCUCUAGUGUAACAACCUCAAAACUUUCCAUAAUUCCUUUGUUCUCUGUUAGAAAGUUUUACGUCUAUCGCAGUGAUUUAGACCAGAAGACACAAGGCUUGAGAUGCGUGUUAAUAUAAUGUAUAUAAUUCAGAGAAUAACAGUAGAAUACAAUAUAAAUAUAUGUCAGGCGAUACGAAGCCAUAAGAGAAAGCAAAACAACAUGAAUUAAGCAAAUAACAAUUGCAAUCUAUAUGCGAUAUACAUAUUAAGUGAUAAGAAGUCCAUAUAAAUUGCGUGCAACGAUAUUAAUCUCCAACAUUCUCAAUAAUAUAAAUAGUUUUCUUAUUUAUAUUCAUCCAAAAUUCAAUUAUAUCACUGCCGGAUCUAUCUACCUUUAUAGAAUUUACUAUACUAUUAAUACUUUGUAUAUAGUAUAAGUUAAAUUUAUCGGCUAUAUUGCACUCUUCUGUAUUGCCUAAGAUCUCAAAAUCUAUAUUUCCUAUUUCCUUUAUACCUACUGGCUCGCCUCUAAUUACUUUUUUCAAGGUUUUCCACAUAGACGUAAGAUUUUCUUUAUUAAGAUCUAUCAUACUUUCGUAAUAUUCUUUCUUUUUUUUCCUGAUUAAUUUUACUACUCCAUUUCUUUCAAUUUUAUACUGUGACCAAUUUUGUUCAAUAUUGUCAUAUAAUGCUUUCCUAUAUGACUUAUCCCUCCUAUCCGCAGCCUUUCUCAUCUCAUCUGAGAGAACCAUUUUUUCCCCUUCCAUACUUUUGGAAUUUUAAUUUUUUUCUUCGGUACCAUUACAUCUAACGCAUCUACUAUACUGUUAACAAAUUUUUUCGCUCUCUUACUCACAUCUAUACAUUUACAUUGCCAUCCCUGACUUUCAUAUAAUUUGUUUUUUACUAAAAUAACAAAUUCAUCUUCAUCAAACUCUUUGUAAUUUCCAGCGCUAAAUUCUCUGUAUUUACUUUCAUUUUUACUCACACUUAACUCUACUUUUAGCCACGCAUGGUCCGUAAUCUUAGGUUCAUGAAUUAUUUGUACUAUUUUAUUAUUAUUAGAGAAAAUUAAAUCUGUAAUCUAAUUGUCUGACUGUCUUUCGUAACUCUCGUCGGUUCGUUUAUAUACUGCUUCAUGCCCAAGCUUAACAUUGUCUCUUGUAAUUUCUUUGUAUAAAACGAGUCCGUCAUAAGGUCUAUAUUAAAAUCUCCUAUUACCAUGCAUUCUCUUUUUAUUACUAACUCCUCUACUAUAUCCUCAAAAAAUCUCGUGAAAUCCCCGUGCAAUGCGCUUGGUGAGUUAUAUGUUACCAUUAUAACUCCUUUAUAAAGUUUUUCUUUCAUUUCUAUCGCAGCACACCAGCAAUUUGAUUCUAACUUUUUUAUUAAUACUACUUCAUAUCUAAUAUCAUCUCUUAUAUACAUAAUAACUCCCCGCUGUGUUCCUAUUUUCGGCAUCGCGUCUAACUACAGUGUAACCCAGCACAUUUAUUUCACUGUCUUCUAUGUCACUAAUCAGCCUGGUUAUCGCUACCACCACAGGAUUUAUGCUCUUCAUAACCUGAUGCUGCAGUUCGUCUAUGUGCGCUGGUAAACUCUGCGCAUUUGUAUACAUAAUUAUUUCUUUUUUUUCGGUAGUUGCUAUUUUGCAUCUUCCCAACCUGCUCUCCUCUUCUCUUCUUGGAACGCCCUCUUAAAAGUUGGACAUUCUCGAUUGAUGGCUUCAUGUUCGUCAUUUAUUUUUAGAUUGUAUGUUCUAUUUUUGAACAUACAAUUCAAACAUUUGCUCUCCGUAGCUGUGCAAACACGCGAAUUAUGAUUCCCUGCGAAUUUGCAGCAUGUUUCUUCUCUCGUACAAUAUUUAACAAUGUGGAAGUACCCCCAGCAUUUAAAACAUCUUUUGACACUGAUGUGAUUAAAUACAGGACAUUUCUUCCAUCCUAUAUUUAGUUUUGAUUUCUUCAAUAUCAGCUCGUGCGUCUCUUCAUCUACUUCCAUUAUUAUUGAUCCUUCUUCAUUUCUUCUUAUUUGAUUGUUACUCUUUUUUUUAACCAUUCUCUUCACAAUUCGCAUAUUUACUGUUGGUGGCGCACUUCCCGAUGCAAUAAGGCGCUCCCAAAUAGUUUAAAUUAAGUUGCGAGAGGACGAGGAGUAACAGAGCCGGGUAGUAUAACGCGCACGCAAUUAACAAAAGCGAUAACACUUUAUUUGACUUUCGCACAGGUGUUUCUCUCUCAAAGUCGUACAGUAAACUUGAAGCUCGUGCUCGGAAAAUCGCUGACCAAGGAGCCGAUCAGGGGGAGAAAAAGCGCGAGGCUCGGGAACGCGACUGCCGAAUCUUGCGACGUUCCGUGAGAUGGAGAUAAGGGUCUAAAAUUCGCUACUGCCGAGGCCCUCUUGCGAGCAUUCGUAAUGCUCGCAUGCGGAGCUCGAGCAUUAUUUAGGAGUACCCAUUCGCGCGAACAUUCCGCCCGCCUUCGCUAGAAGUGUCAGGUUCGAGCGAUCGAACGAUAGAAUAACUUGGUGCGGUCACAACCUAACAUACAUGUCGCGGUAGACACAAACAAGAUUACAGGGUGGAGGAUAAUACUGUAACCCAACUUGUCGGAGGUAAACACACCCAAAAAUUCACAGAUUUAAGUUAAAGGUUAACAGAGUCAAUAUCACGAUUCAGCAAUCAUUAGAUGGCUGUGAAAAAGGCCUUAAAAUUACAAUUUCUUAAACACUACUUGAAUAAAUUGAAAGAGUUCGUAACUAAUAAGACUAGAACGCAUGACUAAGCAGAAGAUUAAAUUAAACUAAUGAAACGAGUAUAUGUUACAAGAUGAAUUAGGCACACGCAACACCUAGAGAUUAAACACUCAGUGGCAAUUCAGAAGGAUUGCGGGUAUCUUUGGUAGACUAAACUUAAUUUAAGCAGUCACUGUACACAAAGGAGUUCACAUAUCUCGAGUCCUGAUACAGCUCUUCUACUAAGCACCACCCGCCAUGGAAGAUUCGAAUUAAGAAAAUUUAACGAGUGUCUGUUCGUGUACCGGCAGCAGAAUAAGUCUGUUGACGGGUCGCACCAACUCCGACGUCGAUGAGCGGAUAGUGGCGACCCUUGUCAGCCCAUCCUUCCCAGGAUGAAGUUGCACCACACUGGCCAGUGGCCACUUUGUCGGAAGAACCAGCUUGUCCUUGAACAGGACCAGGUCUUCCACCUGAAGCUGCCGGUUUGGCUUAAGCCAUUUGGCCCGCUGUUGCAGCUGAGCCAGGUAGUCCGACCGCCAGCGUCACCAAAAGUGACUUCUCAUCAGCCGAAGCAAAUGCCAGCCGGAGCAGGGUUGCCCUGCCUGAUCGAUCUCCGUGAAAGGUUUCGGGGGAGCAACCAGAGGCCUUCCGAUGACCAGGUGUCAGGGCUGAGGCAUCGUUAGGAUCCGCUAAGCGCGCUGAAUGCCGAGAAUUAAAGCAGGCCUCUAUACUAGCCAGCACGGUCAUCAGUUGCUCGUAUGUGAGCUUAGAGUUGCCAAUGACUCUAUAAAGAUGACGUUUCAUCGACUUUACGUUAGACUCCCAGAUGCCCCCAAAGUUUGGAGCUCGAGGAGGGAUGUAUUGCCACUCCACUCCAUCCAACGCCACGGCAGCCGUUACAGCUUGACCGAUGGCGGAAGUCUCCGAGAAGAGUCUAUGCAGUUCGGCCUCGCUGUCCUUGAAGGUGGUAGCGUUGUCGGUGUAGAUGACCCGACAGAGACCACGCCGGGCGGUAAAGCGACGGUAUGCCGCUAAGAAUGCGUCGGUGGUCAAGACAGAGACCAGCUCCAAAUAAAUGGUCUUGACUUACAAGGCACACAAACACCACCACAUACCCUUUCGAUGUCUUUUGACCUCGCCCGGGUGAAGCCUUCACCCAGAAGUAGGCGGCGAAGUCGACUCCAGAGUGCGCAAAUGGUAACGCCGGUUUAGCUCGGAUGGCCGGCAGCGGAGCCAUCUGCUGCUCGAGGGUGAUGGCGUUGUGACGCGCGCACCUGAUGCAGCACAAUGCGUCGGAUCGACAUGUUGGCGCGCAGGAUCCAAUACCUCUGCAACAGAUAGCUAUGUACUAGUCUGUAAACUCCAUGGAGAGAAGAGAUGUGAGCCUUGCGAAUAAGGAGAGCGGUGACGUGAUGGUCCUUAGGGAGAAUGACAGGAUGUUUCUCGGAUUCCGAGAGGAAGGAGUUUUGCAGUCUGCCACCGACGCGGAUCAACCCGUGAGUGUCGACAAAUGGCAGAAGUCUACAAAGGGGGCUGCCAGAUCGAACCUCCCCUCUCAAGGCCAGGCUCCGGAAUUCUUCUGAGAACGCCUCCAUCUGCACCAGCCUGAGAAGUGUCGAUGAUCUGAAGGCCAGUUCUUGCGAGGACAGAAAGCCCCUGCGGCGAUCAAGUUUCGCCAGCUUCGAGUUGAGUCGCCAGCGAUGAACGUACGCAAGAAUCGCGCACAUCCUGUCGAAAGACGAAAAUUUCCGCAGCCAGUCGAAAAGUGAAAGGUCGGAUCGAGUCAACCAGACGUUAACUCGACCGCGUGACUCCAGUUCCAUGGCCUUGAGUACAGUUUUGGAGAGCCAUUCGGUCUGUGGCCGAGUCAGCCACUCAGGCCCGCUCCACCAGAUCCCGGAUUCCUCCUGCUGUCGCGGGGUACAUCCCCUCGUAGCCAGGUCCGCGGGGUUCUGGGCAGAUUUGACGUGCCGCCAAACAGCAGUGGGCAGCAAGGUGGAAUCUCGCUGACUCUGUUCGCCACGUAUGCCUUCCACUUUGAUGGAUACGACUGUAGUCAAGACAGGACUACUUGCGAGUCGCACCAGUAAUGUAUUUGCGCCGGUUGAGCUUCUAGUUGCGGCAGAGUGCCAGCGAUCAACCGCGCAAGAAGAGAAGCCCUACAUAGCACGAGUUUGGAAAGGCUUACAGCCUUCAGAGGCGCCAUCUUAGAUUUGGCCAUCAACAGUCGAGAGUGAGAUGCUGCUGGUACCACGACGUAGAGGGUGGCUGCAAACGCACGCUCAGAAGCGUCGCAAAAGCCGUGGAGAUGCCACUCCAUAGUCUCACUGUCGACCUGUGACUAGAGCGUCCCAGUCUACACUUUGAAGCCACAGGCACUGGAGAAGCAGCUUCGCCCGUAUGACCACUGGACACACCCAGCCCGCCGGAUCGAACAGCGUGGCAAUUUGAAACAAAAUUGCGCGCUUUGUUACUGCAGGAAGUGACGGCGGAAGCCGCACCACAAAGUUCAAGACGUCCAGCCACUUCAGACCUAAGGUCGAGACUGCGUUGCUUGCUGUGAGCCUCCUGUGACGCAGUGGCUUAGUUGUACUGAGAAGGUCGGUGUGAUUGACAGCCCAUUUGUCCACCGCCAUUCCCGAGGAGGAUAGGAUGCCAACAAGUUCCGUCUUAACAGCUGCCGCUUUCUCGUGUGUCUCCCCCCGCC